rnacentral:lncRNA from 8 species
UAUGAUUCUGUCAUUUCACAUUCUUAAAAUAUAGUGAUCCUAACUGACCUAAGACUGGGAAUUUUGACUUUGAUUAAGUGUCAGGAAUUGUGAAACUGAGUUUAAAUGUAUUUGGCUAAGGUGUAUAUAAACUUCCAACUUCAACUGUAUUUAUUUGUUUAUAGAUUAUUCAAUAUUGUUUAUGGAUGACACCAAUUCCCUUCAGUAUCUAGGAUUGUCAGAUGGUAUACUGUUCCAUCAGUGUUACUUUCUUUUUCAAUGUUGUUCACAGAUGAGGUCUCAGUGAAAGUCUCUGACAAGACACUGAUGAUUGAGAGGAUGUCAGGCCUUCAGGUGUCAAACAGCCUCUCUCAGGAGAUCAUAGUGACAGUGAGUGUCCACAUGGCUGACAAGGUGUGUGGAGCUUGUGGAAGUCUGGAUCCUUCAGGUGACAUCCCGGGCCCUAGUCUCCACCUGACUAUGCAGGAAUACAUGGACGGCUGGAAUGCACCAGACUUCCCAACCUGCAGUGGCGGCCUUUUCACACCUUGGAAUAUUCUUUCAUCCACAAGGCAAUUCAACUACCCUGAUUAAUCACCUCUGAUAGAGAGUCAGUCUUCAAUAAAUGUUUGUGAUAACUUUAAUUCUAUUCUUACCGAACAAUUACAUUUUGUGAAAUUAUUCUGUAAAAACCAAACAAUAAAAUGUCUACAAGAAAAGCAUCAAUAACUGAUGUAUUGUCUAUAUUGUACUUCUCCAGAUGAUAAUUAAUUCCAUGUUCUGCAUUGGGGAUUACAUUAGGGACAGGUUAUGGAAAAUAGUUCAUUUUUUACACAGAAAUAUAUGGCUUCCUUGUGAUGUCUUGGCAGGACAUACAGUGCAUAGUGGAAGUCUAUACACCCCUUGCACAAUCUUCACAUUUUGCUGUUUUAAAAUGACAUUUAAAAAGGAAUUAAAUUAGAAUUGUUUUCCGCCUACAGAUCUCCACAAUCUACUUCACAUUUUCAAAGUUAAAGAAAAUUAUAGAACAUUUUCCAAUGAACAAAGAUGUUUUGAUUGUGUACACUCUAACAGGCUAACCACACCGCUCGCGUCGUGUGCACGUUGCAAAAUAAAUUUAGAAAUCUAUAUUAUUCAAUUAUUGC